rnacentral:rRNA from 1 species
GACGAACGCUGGCGGCGUGCUUAACACAUGCAAGUCGAACGGUAAGGCCCUUCGGGGUACACGAGUGGCGAACGGGUGAGUAACACGUGGGUGAUCUGCCCUGCACUUCGGGAUAAGCCUGGGAAACUGGGUCUAAUACCGGAUAGGACUCCGGACUGCAUGGUCUGGGGUGGCAAGCUUUUGGGGUGUGGGAUGGGCCCGUGGCCUAUCAGCUUGUUGGUGGGGUGAUGGCCUACCAAGGCGCCGACGGGUAGUCGGCCUGAGAGGGUGACCGGGCACCCUGAGACUGAGAGACGGCCCUGACUCGGUCGGGAGGCAGGUGUGGGGCAGAUUGCACAAUGGGCGCAAGCCUGAUGCAGCGACUCCGCGUGAGGGAUGAAGGCCUUCGGGGUGUAAACCUCUUUCAGCAUCGACGAAGCGAAAGUGACGGUAGGUGCAGAAGAAGGACCGGCCAACUACGUGCCAGGCGCCGCAGUAA